GUGGGGAAUAUUGGGCAAUGGGGGAAACCCUGACCCAGCGACGCCGCGUGAGGGAAGACGGCCUUCGGGUUGUAAACCUCUUUUGUACGGGAAGAAGGAAGUGACGGUACUGUACGAAUAAGUCCCGGCUAACUACGUGCCAGCAGCCGCGGUAAUACGUAGGGGACGAGCGUUGUCCGGAAUUACUGGGCGUAAAGGGCGCGCAGGCUGUGCUGCAAGUCAGCUGUGGAAUGUCUGGGCUUAACCCGGGCAUGCGGUUGAGACUGCAGUGCUGGAGUGCUGUAGAGGCAAGUGGAAUUCCCAGUGUAGCGGUGAAAUGCGUAGAUAUUGGGAAGAACACCGGUGGCGAAGGCGACUUGCUGGGCAGCAACUGACGCUGAGGCGCGAAAGCCAGGGGAGCAAACGGGAUUAGAAACCCUGGUAGUCC
rnacentral:rRNA from 1 species